rnacentral:tRNA from 1 species
CAGAGAGUAGUUUAAUUAGUAAAAUGCUGGCUUUGGGGGCCAGGGAUGGUGUGACCCCUCUUUGA